GGCACAGUGGUCUAAUGGUAAGACUCCCGCUGCGUAGAUACCUGCUGAUUGUAGUCUGGUUGGCACAACUACGAGAGGCUUGUGCCAAGCAGACUAGCUGAUUGCAUGCAGAGGGUGGGGAUCUGGGUUCAAUUCCCAGCUGAGCAA